AGCUCCAAUAGCGUAUAUUAAAGUUGUUGCGGUUAAAAAGCUCGUAGUUGGAUCUACGGUCACAGACGCGGGUCUGCCCUUCGGGCUGUACUCGUUGUCUUGGCCUACCUUACUGGUUUUCUCUUGGUGCUCUUCACUGAGUGCCCUGAGUGACUAGUACGUUUACUUUGAAAAAAUUAGAGUGCUCAAUGCAGGCUUUUGCCUGAAUAGUGGUGCAUGGAAUAAUGGAAUAGGACCUCGGUUCUAUUUUGUUGGUUUUCGGAGCGCGAGGUAAUGAUUAAGAGGGACAGACGGGGGCAUUCGUACUGCUGCGUUAGAGGUGAAAUUCUUGGAUCGCAGCAUGACGAACAACUGCGAAAGCAUUUGCCAAGAAUGUUUUCA
rnacentral:rRNA from 1 species